UGGAAGCCUUUUUAUCUGGUUUUUGCUCAUCACAAGGAAAGCCAUCCUGGCUGCCAGCUGUGGUUGGCUGUUUGGAACCAAACCGUAUAUCCUCCUAUUGUCUGCUUUGUUCUUCACACUGGAAGGAUCAGGGCCCACAAACAGCUCUCACGCAGCCUCUGAGGACCCACAGAGGACAUUUAGGAAAGGCCCCCGAGCUGUUCUCGCCAGCUGUGCCCAUCAAUACGUGGCAUUUGCGCAAAUAUGCUGAGAAAAGAGUAGAGGCCGUGCAGAGACGGUGAACAUAUUGACAUUCUGACUUUCUAACUGAAGGGCUGAAGAGUGGCAGUUCCCCUUGAGCUCCCCGCUCGGCCCACACCUGCCCACUCGGGAGCCGUGUUUGCGUCUAGUCGGCCGCGGGGCGCGGGCACGGGCCGCCUUCCUCCAGCCCACCUGGCGACUCGGCCGGGCUGGGGGCCCGCGUUUGCACAGACACAGUGCGGAGACCAGCCUCUGUUCCCUCCCUGCUCGUGACUCUAUUUCACACCACAGUUCCACAUCUGAAUUUUCCCCAAACUGUGCUUUCAUCAAAAUACUGUGCAAAAGUCA